rnacentral:rRNA from 1 species
GCAGUCGCGAAAACUUCACAAUGGGGGCAACCCCGAUGAGGGAAUUCCUAGUGCUAUCACAAUUGUGUUAGCUUUUCUCUAGCGUAGAUAACUAGAGGAAUAAGGGCUGGGAAAGACGGGUGCCAGCCGCCGCGGUAAUACCUGCAGCCCAAGUGGUGGUCGAUUUUAUUGAGUCUAAAACGUUCGUAGCCGGUUCGAUAAAUCCUUGGUUAAAUUGGGGGGCUUAACCUUCCGUCUUCCGAGGAGACUGUCGAACUUGGGACCGGGAGAGGCUAGAGGUACUUCUGGGGUAGGGGUAAAAUCCUGUAAUCCUAGAAGGACCACCGGUGGCGAAGGCGUCUAGCUAGAACGGAUCCGACGGUGAGGGACGAAGCCCUGGGUCGCAAACGGGAUUAGAUACCCCGGUAGUCCAGGGUGUAAACGCUGCAGACUUGGUGUUGGAAGUCCUUUGGGGGCAUUCAGUGCCGGAGAGAAGUUGUUAAGUCUGCUACUUGGGGAGUACGUCCGCAAGGAUGAAACUUAAAGGAAUUGGCGGGGGAGCACCGCAACGGGAGGAGCGUGCGGUUUAAUUGGAUUCAGCACCGUAAAACUCACCAGGGAAGAC